rnacentral:rRNA from 1 species
AGAGUUUGAUCAUGGCUCAGGAUGAACGCUAGCGGCAGGCUUAACACAUGCAAGUCGAGGGGUAGCAGGAUUUAGUUUACUAGAUUGCUGACGACCGGCGCACGGGUGAGUAACGCGUAUACAAUUUGCCUUUUACUGAAGAAUAGCCCAGAGAAAUUUGGAUUAAUGCUUCAUAGUAUUAUUUGGUCACCUGGCCGAGUAAUUAAAGCUCCGGCGGUAAAAGAUGAGUAUGCGUCCUAUUAGCUAGAUGGUAAGGUAACGGCUUACCAUGGCGACGAUAGGUAGGGGUCCUGAGAGGGAGAUCCCCCACACUGGUACUGAGACACGGACCAGACUCCUACGGGAGGCAGCAGUGAGGAAUAUUGGGCAAUGGAGGCAACUCUGACCCAGCCAUGCCGCGUGCAGGAAGACUGCCCUAUGGGUUGUAAACUGCUUUUAUACAGGAAGAAACUUAUCCACGUGUGGGUAACUGACGGUACUGUAAGAAUAAGGACCGGCUAACUCCGUGCCAGCAGCCGCGGUAAUACGGAGGGUCCAAGCGUUAUCCGGAAUCAUUGGGUUUAAAGGGUCCGUAGGCGGGCAAUUAAGUCAGAGGUGAAAUCCCACAGCUCAACUGUGGAACUGCCUUUGAUACUGGUUGUCUUGAGUUACAGUGAAGUAGAUAGAAUAUGUAGUGUAGCGGUGAA